AGAGUUUGAACAUGGCUCAGAUUGAACGCUGGCGGCAGGCCUAACACAUGCAAGUCGAGCGGAAACGGCAGUAUUGAAGCUUCGGUGGAUUUACUGGACGUCGAGCGGCGGACGGGUGAGUAACGGCUGGGAACCUGCCCUGACGAGGGGGAUAACCGUUGGAAACGACGGCUAAUACCGCAUAAUGUCUACGGACCAAAGGUGGCCUCUACAUGUAAGCUAUCGCGUUGGGAUGGGCCCAGUUAGGAUUAGCUAGUUGGUAAGGUAAUGGCUUACCAAGGCGACGAUCCUUAGCUGGUUUGAGAGGAUGAUCAGCCACACUGGGACUGAGACACGGCCCAGACUCCUACGGGAGGCAGCAGUGGGGAAUAUUGCACAAUGGGGGAGACCCUGAUGCAGCCAUGCCGCGUGUGUGAAGAAGGCCUUCGGGUUGUAAAGCACUUUCAGCAGUGAGGAAGGUGGUGUACUUAAUACGUGCAUGGCUUGACGUUAGCUGCAGAAGAAGCACCGGCUAACUCCGUGCCAGCAGCCGCGGUAAUACGGAGGGUGCGAGCGUUAAUCGGAAUUACUGGGCGUAAAGCGCAUGCAGGCGGUUUGUUAAGUCAGAUGUGAAAGCCCGGGGCUCAACCUCGGAACCGCAUUUGAAACUGGCAGGCUAGAGUCUUGUAGAGGGGGGUAGAAUUUCAGGUGUAGCGGUGAAAUGCGUAGAGAUCUGAAGGAAUACCAGUGGCGAAGGCGGCCCCCUGGACAAAGACUGACGCUCAGAUGCGAAAGCGUGGGUAGCAAACAGGAUUAGAUACCCUGGUAGUCCACGCCGUAAACGCUGUCUACUUGGAGGUUGAGGUUUAAGAA
rnacentral:rRNA from 1 species